rnacentral:rRNA from 1 species
AUUUAUUAGUACAAAAUCAAUCGGGCUUGCCCGUCUAUUGGUGAAUCUGAAUAACUUUGCCGAUCACACGGUCUUCGCACCGGCGAUGUAUCUUUCAAGUGUCUGCCCUAUCAACUGUCGAUGGUAGUUUAUGUGACUACCAUGGUUAUAACGGGUAACGGAGAAUAAGGGUUCGACUCCGGAGAAGCAGCCUGAGAAACGGCUACUACAUCCAAGGAAGGCAGCAGGCGCGCAAAUUACCCACUCUCAGACCGAGGAGGUAGUGACGAAAAAUAACGAGGCGGUGCCACAUUGUGGCUCGCUAUCGGAAUGAGAACAAUUCAAAUCCUUUAACGAGGAUCUAGCAGUGGGCAAGUCUGGUGCCAGCAGCCGCGGUAAUUCCAGCACUGCUAGUGUAUACCACGAGUACUGCGGUUAAAAAGCUCGUAGUUGGAUCUGCGGCUAUGGAUUCCGGUCCGCCCAACGGGUGUGAACUGGUGAUCCGAGCCUCUCUGUUGGUUUACUGCUGAUGCACUUAAUUGGGCGUCGGUAGUUGCCUGCGAUUUUACUUUGAAAAAAUUGGAGUGCUCAAAACAG